rnacentral:misc_RNA from 1 species
AACCAUAGAAACCUGCGGAGUACCUGCGGAAGGAUCAUUAUAGUAUAUGGAAUCUCCAUUCUAUAAACCCACUCUGCGUAUCUUGUAACUGUUGCUUCCAUGGGACUUGGUUCCGCCACACCGGCUUCACGGCUGGUGAGCGCCCAUGGAGGGAGAAACAAAACUCUUCUUUGAAAUGUAGUCAGUCUGAACAAGUUUUUAUAAACGUUAAAACUUUUAGCAAUGGAUCUCAGAUCGGAA